rnacentral:misc_RNA from 1 species
GUAGGUGAACCUGCGGAAGGAUCAUUACCAAAUCCAAAAAAACUUUAUCAACACCCAAUGUGAACUGAGAGUGGUUUCGUUCCCCUCCUUCUUCCUUCUUUCUGCUCUUUCUUAAAGAGUGGGGAUGAGGGGUUGGCGGGAGGGGAAUGCCUUUUUUUAACCCCUUUACAACUAUACAACCAUUAUUUAUGCUGAAAGCAAAACAAAAACGAAACAUGAGACAACUUUUAACGGUGGAUCUCUUGGCUCG